UGGGGAAUAUUGCACAAUGGGCGCAAGCCUGAUGCAGCCAUGCCGCGUGUGUGAAGAAGGCCUUCGGGUUGUAAAGCGCUUUCAGCGGGGAGGAAGGCGUUAAGGUUAAUAACCUUGGCGAUUGACGUUACCCGCAGAAGAAGCACCGGCUAACUCCGUGCCAGCAGCCGCGGUAAUACGGAGGGUGCAAGCGUUAAUCGGAAUUACUGGGCGUAAAGCGCACGCAGGCGGUUUGUUAAGUCAGAUGUGAAAUCCCCGGGCUCAACCUGGGAACUGCAUCUGAUACUGGCAAGCUUGAGUCUCGUAGAGGGGGGUAGAAUUCCAGGUGUAGCGGUGAAAUGCGUAGAGAUCUGGAGGAAUACCGGUGGCGAAGGCGGCCCCCUGGACGAAGACUGACGCUCAGGUGCGAAAGCGUGGGGAGCAAACAGG
rnacentral:rRNA from 1 species